rnacentral:rRNA from 1 species
GACGAACGCUGGCGGCGUGCUUAACACAUGCAAGUCGAACGGAAAGGCCUGCUUUCCCUUGUGGAUUGCGGGUACUCGAGUGGCGAACGGGUGAGUAACACGUGAGUGAUCUGCCCCCAACUUGGGUAUAAGCCUGGGAAACUGGGUCUAAUUCCCGAUAGGACUGCAGGGUGGUGCCUGUGGUGGAAAACGAUUUUCUAGUGGUUGGGGAUGAGCUCGCGGCCUAUCAGCUUGUUGGUGGGGUAAUGGCCUACCAAGGCGGCGACGGGUAGCCGGCCUGGGAGGGUAGACGGCCACAUUAGGACUGAGAUACGGCCCAGAAUGCUACGGGAGGCAGCAGUGGGGAAUAUUGCACAAUGGGCGGAAGCCUGAUGCAGCGACGCCGCGUGGGGGAUGACGGCCUUCGGGUUGUAAACUCCUUUCGACCGCGAGGAAGCCACCUGGUUGGAAGGGUGGUGACGGUAGUGGUAGAAGAAGCACCGGCUAACUACGUG